CAUAGCAGAGCUCGUUAACCCUGUGCUUCAGGAAGGAGGAAUCUCUUUUAGAUUCCUCCUUUUUAGAUUUUAAUUGUUGAUUUCUUGUGAAUUCCAGUAAAUUUAGCAAACCACUACUUCCUGUGUCAAGAGCCGGCAUAUUAUUUGCAGAAAUAUUGCACCUUCUCUGCAAACACAUGAGCCAGAAGGAAGUGGAGGCCUUAUGGAGGGACUCUAAACUGAGCUGGGCUGAUUUUCUUCCUGAAACCGUGGAUGUGAACAACUUUAUUAGUGAGCAGGUGAGCUGUUGGCUGCACACUAGAUUCAGACUCCACUGGAAGAUCUGGACCAAACAGGAUCCAGUGGGCAGUAGAUUUUUUACUACUUGAGUGAUAAUAAUAGAAGAGCUGAGUAAAAGUAACAGCAUAGUUAUUUUAUCAAAUCAUUUCGCUUGAAAAUUGAUUUAAAAUACUAUUUUUUAUGUCUGAUCUAAUCGCUUGGCUCGGCAUAUUUUUGGCUGGUUGUUACAGAGUGCUUUUAAAAAUGUGCAAUAAUCAAGAUAUGAAUGAUCGAUCUUGUGUGUUUUGAUGAAACAAAAGCUCAGUUCAGACUCUAAUUCAUGAUUAUUUCAAUUUUUUCAUUUUAAAGACCUGCAAACAUGCAAAUGAUAUUAUUAAUAUAACUGUAAAAGAUGUUUAAAAGGCUUCCUGACAAUCAGAUUAGUUCGGUUAAGGACAGUUGGGUUUAUUGUGGGAAAUGAGUCGGGGUUCUAGAGAUGAUUGGCCUCGGUUUAAGUUUGAUUUUUCAGGUUAGUAUUUAUGGAAACGUGGAAUCCUGCAUUCAGAAGACUGCUGCAGUAAUGAUCCAAAGCAACACCUUUGAAUGGAAAUGAAGGUAGCAAACAGGGUGUAAGUGAUUCUUCACUG